GGUUUCCUUCUACACGCGUCGUUGUCUCGUCCUGGGACUGUGAGGUGCCUCGCUCUUGCGCCGCCGCUGCGGAGAGGGGUGGUCGCCGGGAGAAGGAAGGAAGGCGCUACAUGGCGCCAACUCUAACGGAUCCGGAUGGUGUUCCUCGAUGGGAUCGGAGGAAAGGGCGGCAGCCCUCCAGGUUUUUGUGCGUCCCAUUCGACACCGAUUUCUUCUUUUUACGGAGAAUCAUCCGAUCCAUUUCCUAGGUUUUCCUAGGUUGGGGUAGUAUAUUUGUUUUCUGUAAUCCUUGAUCUAAUCAAGUAGCCGCAGUAAUUCUUAUGCGAUGUUAUCUAAUUUUCCCCUAUCCGCUUUCUGAUUGGCACCAUAGUACAUUUGUUUUUACCCUUGACUAAAUUACAGUUCAGAGUCUAGUUCAGUUUCAUUGUUCUUUUGUUCAAAGGGUAUUCGUUCAAAUAAGCUCUAUAUAUUGCUUGAGUGGGAAAGGAAAGGUUUUAAUUCAGAAAGUAAUCUAUUCAUGUUUAAAUUUUGGCCACCCGUAUAUUUUCUGAAAAAAAAAAUGAAUACAUAAAGGAUGUCGUAUUAUUAAAGUGUGUUGUGUGACUUGUGUCCUAAAUAUAAGCAUCGAGCUCUCGUUCAUCGUAUUCUAACCAUUUAAAAAUCAUUAGUGGUCAAAGUUGAAAUAGUGCUUGUCAACAGUGACUGGAAUUUGGGAGACCUUGUGUACACUUUUAACCUUUUUUAUACUGCAUAGCGAUUCAUCAUAAGUUUGUUCUGUACUAUGUCCAUUUGUUCAUGUAAAAAUGUAGAUGAACUCAAAAGGAAAAGGUACCUCAUACGGUACUCGCACUCUACAACAUCAGCUUCUGCAUCCUCAACAUUUACAUUGCUCAAAUCGACACUAAUCAGAAAAUAAUCUUGUUGAAGAAGAGGUUUCAUUAGAUUUCAGCUAGCCAUGGUCAAACUAAGAGAUGUGGUUAACUCUUCCUUCGAGUACUAGUUGUAAAUCGCUCAACUAAUCUGUAAGCUAUGCUAGUCGUACAUCAAGUAUCUGUGCAGGUGCUAGGUAAUCAGAUCAAGCCUUUGCUGCAGUAUCAACUUUUACUACUAAUGGCAUCAUCAGUCGAGCAUCCUUUCCAUGCCACAACAAGGAACCAAAUACAUGAUCCCGUUGAGGCACAUCCACAUGGAAGUUAACCGUGAAAGUCUUCUUCGCACCGUAAUUCUCGAAGACUAGAACUUUUGGAGUCACCGUGACAUUGAUACCCAGUGGAGCAGACACGAAAGCAUGAAGGAGACCAUGAUGGAUAUGCACCUUUGACAAGAGCAGCUAUUCCUGUAACAUGGGGGCACGCCAUGGAAGUUCCAGAAAGGAUGUUGAAGUGCUUGUCCUCCUUAGCAGGAGACCAUGCCGCCAAUAUGUUCAACCCGGGAGCAGCAAUAUCUGGCUACAGAAUGCAUAAGUGUCUUGUAAACACAUCAAUAAACUUUUGACUGGUAGCUUCGUUUUUCAAUUCCGAUUACCUUCAGAAUCUCCGGUGUCAAUGAAUUUGGGCCUCUUGAAGAGAAGGCCGCCACCCGGGGAGCAUCUCUAGAACCUAAAAUCGUCUUCGCUGGUGAAAUUUGAUGGUGAGUUUGCCUCUCCCCGCUGGCAUUGCCCUCUCCAUCUUGUAGGAACCGGAGGCAUUCCAUGAUCUCUGAAACUAGGAGAUUCUGGCCAUAUUCCUGGGGGGAACAGAGGCACAAGGUAGCUCAGCCGCUGCAUCGACGGACAAGCCCAUGAAAUCCCAUGAAUGAGUGGUGUGGAGGCUCCUCUUUGUGUUUGGGAACACUGAGAUGACACCAGGCAUAUCUGCAGAAGUGUGCAGCAGAGUUAGCUUUCAGUCAUCAUCACACCAGGAUCACGUGUCAGGAUGCUAAAGACAUCAGAAGCCAUGCAUAUACAAGGAAAUUACUGGCUAAUUUCAUGGCUUGUUGUUUGUUCAGCUUUGCUGCAAAUCCUUGGAAACCGUUGCUGUAAGUGUAGACAUGCGAUGCCUCUGCCUUCUCCAUGCUGAGACCAAGCAUCCAAUUAGUCAAGCUACAGAACAAGUAUGGAAGCUAGAUUGAUAGAUAUCAACAGCUGAUGAUGAACUCAUUCCAAACCUUCCGUCAUGAACAGCUGUCAGCAUCUGGUGAUGAAGCCUCAGCAUGUCAUGCCGAUUCUCAGUGCUGCCUUGCAAUCCUUUGCCCAUGUAGACCACAUAAACCUGAAAUAUAAGCAUCCAUCAAGGAAAUGUUAGAUCACUGGGAAGAGAUCAAGAAAGAAGAUAAAGCCAUGAUUGCAGAAGAGUGAGUAGUACGGAAUGAAUGCAAGAAAGCUUGUGCAUGGUAGGAGGUGGACUACUGAAACCAACCUGAGCACAAGAGCAAGAGGAGCAGAACUCUCCUAGUAACACCACAAACACAUAGAACACGAGGAAGAUCAUAUUGUCUCUGUCCUGCAAAGAAGCAAUCACAUACACCCAAACAUGCAGAUAUAGGCAGACAGUGAGGUUUUGGAAUGGAAGCCUGCAAGCUGCAAACGUACAUAUGACCAAAUUUUUUUUAUGGACGAGUAGUAUGCUUUGUGGAACUGACAAGCCACAGCACUACUCCCUCAGUCCCAAAAUAAGUGCAGUUUUGCACUGUUCAUGUUCAACUUUUGAUCAUUCGUCUUAUUUGAAAUUUUUUUAUGAUUAAUAUUUUUAUUGUUAUUGGAUG
rnacentral:sRNA from 1 species